UCCAGAGCAGCGUAGUGGUUUGAGCGUCGGACUAGAACUCUGGAGACCAGAGUUCGAAUCCUGGCUUGGCUCUGGAA